GACGAACGCUGGCGGCGUGCUUAACGCAUGCAAGUCACGGGGGCCCGCAAGGGCAACCGGCGAACGGGUGCGUAACACGUGAACAACCUGCCCUCGUGUGGGGGAGUAGCCAUGCUAACGCGUGGGUAAUACCGCAUACGUUCCCUUGGAGGAGUCUCUGGGGGAGGAAAGCUCCGGCGCACGGGGAGGGGUUCGCGGCCUAUCAGCUAGUUGGCGGGGUAAUGGCCCACCAAGGCGACGACGGGUAGCUGGCUGAGAGGAUGGCCAGCCACAUUGGGACUGAGAGACGGCCCAGACUCCUACGGGAGGCAGCAGUGGGGAAUCGUUGCGCAAUGGCCGAAAGGCUGACGCAGCGACGCCGCGUGUGGGAUGAAGCA
rnacentral:rRNA from 1 species